rnacentral:lncRNA from 1 species
CGAAUUUUAAUCUUGGUAAUGAGAAUUUACUUUGAUAUUAAAGGUAAAUACUGACCUGAACUGAAUUGAUAAGAAUGAUCUCACAAAGGCAGAACAGGAUUUGUUACAUGUCUAUUCAUGACUUAUGUUUGGUUUGCCACUAUGAGCAGACCCCCCUCCACCAUGGGUGGCAAUUCUUGGAGGAAUCAUCGGGAUCAUUGUGCUCAUGGUUGUAUGUGUUUGGUAAGUAUGACAUAUUAAAGCAGCUAAAGUGAUUCAGAUACUGGGACUUAAAGGGUAACUCAACAUUUUUAGCUCUCAGUGAAAUUAAUUUUAACGUUGAAAAUAAAUAACAUUCGUUAUAGGGAAUGUGGAGAGAGACUGUUUACUGUUCCUGCAGCGUUUUCUUCCAGUGUAACAGUUUAGGAAGCGCUGAAUUAUUUACAGAAUAUAAUCAUUUGUCCUUUAUUAACACAAUAUCAAUAAUUCAUUUUUUGAAAGUCACAAUUAUUGUUCAUAGCAGCUUAUGAUUAUUGUCCUUAGCAGUGACACCCCCAGUGGGCACCAGGUUUAGAGACGCAGUCCACUGGUCUGCAUCGCACUCACAUAACACUGUUUGACUAAUGGACCUUUAAAAAACAGGUGAUCGAAAUGGAAACAGCAGAACAGAGAUCACUUUCUCUGUUCCACACAUUCUUCUUCCUUUUGAAAACCUGACACCCACAUUACCCAACAUGCAGCUCAGCUACCAAGUAACGUAGCUGGAGGUAAUUUAUCAGAUUACAUCCAACUUCCUCUCGAACCUUCAAAGGCUUCAUACUACUUUUACUUACAUGUGCAGUAGAACUCUACAACACCUGUAAACACACUUGCAUGUCUAAAAUCAGUGGCGUUAUCCUUUAAAAGAGCACAUUUCUAUAUUUGGUGUACGUACCAAUCCAGAUUUCUCACUGAUGGUUUUAUUUGACACUGACAGCAUCCUGAAGUGUGUGAGGCGGUCAAAGUCGACGGAUUCAAUUCAACAACAGAAUCAGAGUCAAACAGGUGACGAGCUGACGACUGAAGAGCCAGCAAGGAUGAGAGAAGCAGAGGACGAAAACAUCCAUUAUGGAGAGAUUGACUUCUCCAUGCACAGACCUAAAACUUCCUCUGAUUUGCCGCGGGACAGUGGUCAGCAGCAGGAGAUACUGUAUGCACAGGUCAAAGUGUCGAGUACAACAACCAGCUCAACACAGGUUUCUGAUGGCCCAGAGGAUCUCUACGCUCAAGUGAAGAAAAAAUGAGAGUUGUUGGGUUCGUGGAAAGAGAUCACAUUUGAAUGGGAUUCAUACUAAAUGUACCUUUAUUUUUCAGUUAUUGUUAAUGUAGAAAAAGAUCAUGAAGCAUGGACAGGAAAAUGACACAAUGUCUUUUUGUCACUUAUCGACAUGUCCAUAUGUGGGUUCUGACCUCACACAGCUGUUACUAUGGGAUUUAUACAUGUCUGAUAUGUGCAAAUAAAAGCCCAAAGUCUCAGGAACAAGACUCUUAAUGACACCAGAAUUAUUUCUAUACACACAUUAACAAUGCAGUGUGGUU